GGGCUUAUGGUCUAGGGGUAUGAUUUUCCCUUUGCAUGAAUCAUCUUAUGCAACUUGGGAAAGGUCCGGGGUUCAAAUCCCCGUGAGUCCA